CAGAUGGAAUGUAGGAGUACAUUCGCAUCGAAUGUGAUCAUUUAUCGAGCAUUUUGCUGUCAAGAGUAGCUCAUAAAAAGUAUGGGUAUAAGUGUCCGUCAGACCUAAAAUCAUCAUGGUGACUUGUAAACAACUUAUUGUACUUUAAUAUCAGACCAUCUGAGUUUCUAAUUCAGUGAUGGAAGGAUACUGGAUGCAGUCAAGUGCUUA
rnacentral:lncRNA from 1 species